CCUACGGGUGGCUGCAGUGGGGAAUAUUGCACAAUGGGCGCAAGCCUGAUGCAGCCAUGCCGCGUGUGUGAAGAAGGCCUUCGGGUUGUAAAGCACUUUCAGUGAGGAGGCGUUACUCGCAGAAGAAGCACCGGCUAACUCCGUGCCAGCAGCCGCGGUAAUACGGAGGGUGCAAGCGUUAAUCGGAAUUACUGGGCGUAAAGCGCACGCAGGCGGUUUGUUAAGUCAGAUGUGAAAUCCCCGCGCUUAACGUGGGAACUGCAUUUGAAACUGGCAAGCUAGAGUCUUGUAGAGGGGGGUAGAAUUCCAGGUGUAGUGGUGAAAUGCGUAGAGAUCUGGAGGAAUACCGGUGGCGAAGGCGGCCCCCUGGACAAGCUGACGCUCAGGUGCGAAAGCGUGGGGAGCAAACAGGAUUAGAUACCCGAGUAGUC
rnacentral:rRNA from 1 species